rnacentral:rRNA from 1 species
ACGAACGCUGGCGGCGUGCUUAACACAUGCAAGUCGAACGGAAAGGCCCUGCUUUUGUGGGGUGCUCGAGUGGCGAACGGGUGAGUAACACGUGAGUAACCUGCCCUUGACUUUGGGAUAACUUCAGGAAACUGGGGCUAAUACCGGAUAGGAGCUCCUGCUGCAUGGUGGGGGUUGGAAAGUUUCGGCGGUUGGGGAUGGACUCGCGGCUUAUCAGCUUGUUGGUGGGGUAGUGGCUUACCAAGGCUUUGACGGGUAGCCGGCCUGAGAGGGUGACCGGCCACAUUGGGACUGAGAUACGGCCUAGACUCCUACGGGAGGCAGCAGUGGGGAAUAUUGCACAAUGGGCGGAAGCCUGAUGCAGCAACGCCGCGUGCGGGAUGACGGCCUUCGGGUUGUAAACCGCUUUCGCCUGUGACGAAGCGUGAGUGACGGUAAUGGGUAAAGAAGCACCGGCUAACUACGUG